ACUGGAGUUUGAUCCUGGCUCAGGACGAACGCUUGCGGCGUGCCUAAGAAAUGCAAGUCGAACGGGGACUUCGGUCCUAGUGGCGAACGGUCGUGUAACACGUAAGCAACCUGCCCUGAAGUGGGGGACAACAUCCCGAAAGGGGUGCUAAUACCGCAUGUGGUCACGAGUCGGCAUCGACUUGUGUCUAAAGAUUUAUCGCCUUUAGAUGGGCCCGCGUUGGAUUAGCUAGUUGGUGGGGUAAAGGCCUACCAAGGCGACGAUCCAUAGCUGGUCUGAGAGGAUGAUCAGCCACACUGGGACUGAGACACGGCCCAGACUCCUACGGGGAGGCAGCAGUGGGGAAUAUUGGGCAAUGGACGCAAGUCUGACCCAGCCAUGCCGCGUGAAGGAUGAAGUUCCUCUGGAUUGUAAACUUCUUUUGAGUGGAAGAAAUUUGACGGUACCACUCGAUAAGCCCCGGCUAACUACGUGCCAGCAGCCGCGGUAAUCUGAUGGCGCG
rnacentral:rRNA from 1 species